CUUUACUGUAGCUUGGAAUUGAAUUCGGGUUUACUUUGCGCAGUAUAGGUGGGAGGUUAAGAUGGUAAACUUGCGGGUUUAUUGGAGCCAUUAAUGAGAUACCACCCUGAGUAAAUUAGAAUUCUAACUUUGAUUGUCGUUAACCGGCCAAGGAACAGUUUCAGGUGGGCAGUUUGACUGGGGCGGUCGCCUCCUAAAAGGUAACGGAGGCGUGCAAAGGUUUCCUCAGGCUGGUCGGAAAUCAGUCGUAGAGUAUAAAGGUAUAAGGAAGCUUGACUGCAAGAC
rnacentral:rRNA from 1 species